UACGAAGGGGGCUAGCGUUGCUCGGAAUUACUGGGCGUAAAGCGCACGUAGGCGGCUUCUUAAGUCGGUGGUGAAAUCCUGGAGCUCAACUCCAGAACUGCCUUCGAUACUGGGAAGCUCGAGUCCGGGAGAGGUGAGUGGAACUGCGAGUGUAGAGGUGAAAUUCGUAGAUAUUCGCAAGAACACCAGUGGCGAAGGCGGCUCACUGGCCCGGUACUGACGCUGAGGUGCGAAAGCGUGGGGAGCGAACGGG
rnacentral:rRNA from 1 species